rnacentral:tRNA from 1 species
UUGGGUUGGGCUUAGUGGUAGAGUGUGUGUUUAACAUACACAAGGCCCUGGGGUUUGAUUCCCAGAGCCACAA